UCUCUAUCUUUAACCUUGAGAUGGAGUGGAGUGAAUCACCACGCAGGUUCACUGCUGGCUUUGGAUUUUGAAUGUAGUUGUUAUUAAAUGAAGUAUAAUAGUGGAUAAUAGUGGUGAUGGAAGCUUCCAUUGUUGUAACAGUCCAAUUAUCCAGUCUAGUCAUCGUCAAUCUGUAAUACUCCGUAAAUAGAAAUCUCAAUGUGAUGAGUCCUAAAUCGGUAUAUCGAAACUAAUUGUAAAUCAUCUAACGUAAGUAUUACCAGUCGAAUGAAUACAUAUUUCAAUGCGUUUCGAUAAUCCUCUGUCUUUAAUUUUAACGAAACAUUAAAAUACUCAAAAAAAAUAGAUUCAUUUUUCCAUUAUAAAGUCAAAAGAAUAUUAGAUAAAAUUGCAUAUAUAAGAUUAUUCUUAUUUAUUUAAAAUCUUACAUUACAUUUCUAAAUUUUACUACAAUUUUUAUAUUAUGAAUCUAAUUGCUAGAUGAUAACACAAUUCCUUCCCAAUGACCAAUAUAUAUAAAUUCAUAAAAUGGUUUAUACCUGCAAAGAGAAAUAUAAGAUUAAAAAUUAAUAUAUGUUCAUUUUCAACGAGUGACAAUGGUCUAAAGUAAAAAUUACUGUUUGUUUAAUUACCUCUCUGUAUGAUGGUCAUCAACUUCAACGUAUAUAUUGUUGUAAAUAGUCAUGAGUUCCCUCAAGUUCACGCGAAGUUUUACCACUGGAGAAAAACUCAUUACGAGAGCUACUAUCUCUCCAGGAACUUCUCGACUCACAACUAAUACUUCGCAAUUGUAACAAUAAUCUGUAUUGAGUUUCACCACCUUCAAUUUCAAUGCACCUUGCUGAAGAGCUACUGAUGUUUUGCGCAAUCGAAUCAACGAUUGAUACAUCUUAUAAAGUGACUGUCGUGUCGUAUUUUUUUGAUUUUCCAAAUUCAAUUCUUUAUAAUUUUCAUGAAUCGGAAGCCACGUUCGAUUACCGUUACUGAAUCCUACAGACCCAUAAAUUUAUAAUAUCUUUUCAUAUGUUAUAUUUAAAAAAUACUGAAAUUUUAAGUUUCGGCUGGUCUUCUUACCCGCAUUUUUAUUACCGUCCCAUUGAAAAGGUGUGCGAUAUGGAUCACGAGAUCGACUUUGAUAUUUUUCCUUUCCGGCAUUACAAGCUUGCGGAUCCUGUGUGUCCUCCCACGAUAUGUCACUCUUAUCAACCAUUCCAAUUUCUUCUCCGUAAUAAGUAACGGCAACGCCAGGUAAGAU